rnacentral:rRNA from 1 species
GAUGAACGCUGGCGGCGUGCCUAAUACAUGCAAGUCGAGCGAACAGACGAGGAGCUUGCUCCUCUGACGUUAGCGGCGGACGGGUGAGUAACACGUGGAUAACCUACCUAUAAGACUGGGAUAACUUCGGGAAACCGGAGCUAAUACCGGAUAAUAUAUUGAACCGCAUGGUUCAAUAGUGAAAGACGGUUUUGCUGUCACUUAUAGAUGGAUCCGCGCCGCAUUAGCUAGUUGGUAAGGUAACGGCUUACCAAGGCAACGAUGCGUAGCCGACCUGAGAGGGUGCUGGGCCACAAGGAAAGUGAGAGACGGACCAGACACCGACGGGAGGCAGCAGUAGGGAAUCUUGCGCAAUGGGCGAAAGCCUGACGAAGCAACGACGCGUGAGUGAAGAAGGUCUUCGGAUCGUAAAACUCUGUUAUUAGGGAAGAACAAAUGUGUAAGUAACUAUGCACGUCUGGACGGUACCUAAACAGAAGGCCACGGCUAACUCCUG